AUACCUGAAAAUACCAGCCCUGAGCAGAAUGCUUUCUGAGUCACUCAGCCUGUUAUUUGGGAGUGGUGCUACAGAAGCUAUUUAAUGCAUAUAUGGAACAUGUUAAGUUAAAGUGAAUGUGAGAUGUAUUGCAGCUACCAUGAACCUGAAGGGUAUAUUAGUGUUUAUUUUAUAUUUAAGCAGCUGAGCCACAGUCUGUCUGAAGCAUAAAACAUAUGACUAAACGUGUGUUUCAGCCAUAAUCUAGGGAAGAAAAGAAGGAAAAGAAGAGGUAUUGUGCAGCUGUAGCGUUGAAACAGGUCUCAUAAUACAGGAGCACAUGCUUUAUUGGGAAGGGCUCAUGAGAGUGAAACAAGCACCUGCUAAUAAAUUCAUGCUCAUUCUAUAUUCAAUGCAAAAUAGAAUAGAGAUUGUAAGAUUGCAAAUGGUGUAAUUUAUGUGAAAUAAGCAAGGCACAGCUCUGUUGUAUUUAUAGAUAGGAGGAGCCUGAUUUGUGUAAUGUGCCAAUGCAGCACUGGCACGUCUGGAGAACAUUUCUCAGCAUGAGACAGCAGCCAAACAGCUGUACAAGAGCAAUGCAGCUUAAUAGGUGGAAUUUUUAAAGAAACCAAAUGCUGCAGGUUACUCUGGUAGACAUAUGGUACCCUGUGGAAGUAUGGCUGUGCCUAUCUGGGGGUCAUUGGACAUGUUUUCAAGUGUCCCAGCUGCACAAUGGAAGGUGUUCAAGCCAAAAUUUACAGAUCUUGAGCUGAGACAGAACUCUGUCAGAAAAGGAUGACAAGUUCUCUCCUGACGUCCAGGUCAGAGUCUUUCCUGCUUCUGCUCCUUUUCUGUUUGUCUUGUGUUUUACUACCAAUACUGUCUGGGUGAUAGUCCAAUUUCAUAGACUAUUUUGAAAAACUCUGGCAGCCAUCUCAGCUGAGUGUCACCUUGGAUCUUCCUUGUUUCCAGGCAAGAUGAUGUACUGUCAUAGUACUUAUACACCUUUUACCCACUAGUAUUUUACUGAUGCAUCCAAAAAUUUGUCCAUCCAGAAGCAGCUAACGGUCCUUCUGAGGGCUGUAAUCUCGCGGACCUCAUGCAAGGUUGUGGUUCUGACCCCAUGACAUUGCAAGUGAACUACACAGCCAUCAGAUCUUGUUGGUGCAUUUCAGAAAUCUGAAGUAUAUAUGAAAAGCUGCUGGAUCACUGGCCUUUUGGGCACAAGCUAGUCCAGCUUCAGGCAAUAGCCUCCCUAAAACUGAAGCACCCACUGCUCUUUCUUGAUCCUUAGGACAGUGCCUGGCCUGAUUAAGAUUAUGUCUUUGGUCUUUGUUUUCCUACCUGGUUUCUGUCUUCCUCUUAAUUUCCCCAUGGAGCCCUGCUUAUUGUCUCCCUGUUGGUCCUAGUCUAAUUACUCCUAACAUAACCCAGAUGUCUCUUUUCUUCAUCUUCAUCAUACUUGUCACUAAUCCAAUGGCCAGGAUGGUGUUCUUAUAACAGAAGGAUAGUCCGGUGGCUUGAGAACAUCACUUCCAAACUGUCUGGCUGUUUCUGGGUGGUGUGGUGAGAUUAAAAUGAUUGGCUGUAACCUUUGAACAAGGACUAUGCACCUACAUGGUCAAGCAGGCCAUCGAUCUUAUGCAAGCAUAAAACAGAAACUGUGGUAGUUAAAGAACUUCAGCUACGUGAAUCUGUUUGGCUAUCUGAUGUGGAUAUGGAGUGGGAGAUACAGGUCUGGAAGGAGUAGGUGGGAUGAGUUUUGAAGUGAAAUUUAUCUUCUAAAUUCUUCUUGCUGCCUGAAAACUAAAGAUGAACUGUGCUUUGAAGACUGGGAGGUAACAAAUAAAAUAAUACACUUGUCAAUACUUGGGAAAAAU
ensembl:lncRNA